GACGAACGCUGGCGGCGUGCUUAACACAUGCAAGUCGAACGGAAAGGCCCUGCUUGUGUGGGGUGCUCGAGUGGCGAACGGGUGAGUAACACGUGAGUAACCUGCCCUUGACUUUGGGAUAACUUCAGGUAACUGGGGCUAAUACCGGAUAGGAGCUCCUGCUGCAUGGUGGGGGUUGGAAAGUUUCGGCGGUUGGGGAUGGACUCGCGGCUUAUCAGCUUGUUGGUGGGGUAGGCGCUUACCAAGGCUUUGACGGGUAGCCGGCCUGAGAGGGUGACCAGCCACAUUGGGACUGAGAGACGGCCCAGACUGCUACGGGAGGCAGCAGGGGGGAAUAUUGCACAAUGGGCCGAAGCCUGAUGCAGCAACGCCGCGUGCGGGAUGACGGCCUUCGGGUUGUAAACCGCUUUCGCCUGUGACGAAGCGUGAGUGACGGUAAUGGGUAAAGAAGCACCGGCUAACUACGUG
rnacentral:rRNA from 1 species